UGCUCUGAAGAGAGCCCCCGCGGCGUAGUGCAUGGCCAGGGCGUGGACAAGCUGCCUGGCCGUGGUGAAGAUGGGGCCUCUUUCAAACACUGAGAAGGAGAGCGGGGUGUGGUCGGAGGCUAUGUACAGCUUGAGGGAAGCGUGGAUGCUGACGAGGAGAUUCACCGGCUGUAUCACCAGCUUCCGUAACUUCACAGGAUGCACCAGGGCCCUGGCGUGCUGCCUGACCUGCACGGGCAACACCUGUUUCCCAUCUGCAAAGACCGUGGGGUGACCGGCUGGGCUGCUGCUAGGAAGGUCAGCUUUGAAAUUCACAUCACGUGCCUGUGACCCAGGGCUGAGGAAAGGCUCCUGGAAGACAAGCUCCCUCCUACAGAAGGGCUGCUUCCUUUCAUCAGAGGACACAGCUCCCCAAGCUCCCCAGUGAUUUAUAUGCCCUGGUGUGUUACUGAGGAGAUGCCAGUGAGGGCCUGAAACAAAUCUUCCUCCAGAAUAGGAAGUAAACCGUGGUCUGCGGGACAUAUGGCACACAGCUCCUCAAAGAUUAAUGGGAACAUGAGACUUUGCUGGGUCCUCGGACCAGGGAUGAUAAGGGUGUUGGAAACAGUACCUCCUCUCAGCUUUGAAGUGUCCCUGACUACAAAGGUUUGAGGAAAUUUAGAGUGAACAGGAAUCCCCAAAAUAAGGUUUGGCAGGCAGAAUGCCUAUUGUAAAGAAUUCCCUAGACAUAUAUAAGCAAGGUUUCAAACAUCUUCAAACCGAUGCAGGGGAGUUCAGGGACCCUUGAGAAGCUGGUGAUACUUAUUUUGUAAAUUACUGAGACGGGGAACGUCUUCUGAGGCUGCACAGACCCAGCAGAUUUUCACUGUUCAUCACAUGAGCACCGCGGAUGGAGAUCACACCCCUCAGUAGUUUGGGGAACCACAAAUGCAGGUCUCCCAGGAACCCUCGCGGCUCACUGACCUGCGUUCCCUGACUGUUGAUGUCGAUGGCGUCGCUCCACUCACUCGUCGUUUCCUCCAGCAAUUCUACUCUCAAAAGGAGGCUGGGGAGUAAGUCUCUGGUCCUGCAGUCUGGAUAACUGGAAAGCUGAUGAUACAGCUCAUGAUGAAUUGAACACUCAGGAGGAAUUCUUCUGCAAUAAACCUCACACUUUGGAAUAUCUAAAAUUGAAAAAAGAAAGGCAUAUGCAGACUUAGGCCUUGAAGAAAAAGACUUGGGGAUACUAAACGUAAUGGGGCAAGAGAAACUUCUCAGAGAAGCUCACUUUUAUUUAAGGGUCACAGGUAACUACGAAGUCAAAAACCUCCAGAAAAAAUAUAGGUUUUGUAUUAUUUAAAUUCAAUACUAUAACAUAUACCUUUAGUAUUUUCCUUUAUAAGUAGUGUUACUGGACAUCUGUUGUGGAAAAUUAUUCGAGGACUAGGGUCUUCUGAGAGGGUUAAAUAAGUCACUCCAAAGUGCUCUUGAUAUGUCAGUGCUAUAGCCCUAGAACAGAAUCAAAGGAUAGAAAUGGUUUAGAAAAAAAUGCACGCUUUCUCUCCUGAUACAUGUUUAUUUGGAUCUGCAAUAUUCAGAACCUCUAUAACACCUUCUCUCUUAUACAUCAGAGGAAAUGUUUUCCAGAGAAUGGAUGGGCAUCCACUUAUCUAUUACCUGCCAAACACUAAUGAUAGGUUUACUAAUUUUUUCUGACAGUAGUAAACAUUUUUGUCAUAAAAUGUUCAAAAAAAUGUGAACGAUCAUAUACACACUACUAUAUUUAAAACAGAUAACAAAGACCUACUGUAUAGCACAGGGAACUGCUCAAUUCCGUAACAACCUAAAUGGGAAAAGAAUUUGAAAAAGAAUAUGUAUAACUGAAUCACUUUGCUGUACACCUGAAACUAACACAACAUUGUUAAUCAACUAUACUCCAAUAUAAAAUAAAAAUUAAAAAAAUAAAAUUAAGUUAAAAAUAUAAAUAAAAUAAAACCCUCAUAACUCCUACCACUCGGAGAGAAUUACAGAUAUCCUUGUGCUAGCUUUUCCUCCUCAAAAGUGCUUGGUAAAUUUUGGCAAAGGAGGAGUUGAUGUGCUUCUAGAAGGACGACUAGAGAAUCUGGGUACUUGCUCUUUUUUAAUUCUAAAGGUAGGUAUGCUCAAUGUUUGUUGUCAAUUUUUGCCAAUCAUCAUGCUUUACAGGAUCUCCAUUUUGAUUACGAAGAGCAAAGCUGUAUUUACUAUUUGGCCUCAGAGAAACUGCUGUGUGGCCGCAGGCUGACCUCUACAAUGGACAGAGAGAAAGGCUCCAAUUUAGACCUAGAGACUACCAAAAAGUAUUUCAUAACAAAGCAGGCAAAAAAUUCUCUCUGAAGCUUAAAUUCUGUGGGCCGAUUGUUGAAAUUAAUCAAAGAAAUCAGAUAUUUGCCAAAUGUGGCCCUCAGUUUCCACUUACUAUAAGGGGUCAAUGACACACUGAAGGAUUUCCCAUUCAUUACCUAUUCUGCUCGCCAGUGUGAGUUCUUCCCAAAGCCUGUAUAUUUGUCUGAAAUGUCAAGGUGAACUGUCGAUUAGUAUUUGGGGAAAUCAUAUUAAUAACUAACACCAUGACAUGUGCACUGCUGGACUGGGGGGAGGAGAAGAGAUGGAACACUCUCUGAGCGUCAGUCUCUGCAUUAGCACCAAAGUCCUUCUCCCAGCCUACCUGUGGAAGAGCUGGGCAAGCCAACCACAGAGAAUGCUCUGCCGAUAGCCAAGAGCUGGGGUCAAGACUGAACUACGGCACUUCCAAUGUAAUAUCUAGCUUAAU